AAUCGAACAUAAAAGCACGCGCAGGUGAAUGCAUCUCUAAUGGUGCCAGUCGGAUGAAAAUAGGAGUUUCAAGAGGCAAUCUCCAGAACUGCAUGCAGGGGACAAUCACGGUACAUGGCCACAAGAGAAAAUGGGCUUGGAUCUUGAGCCUUCAGCUGCUUAGUCCCUAGGAAGAAGUGCUGUCCCUUUAACAGCCAGCCACUCAUGAGUUUGCCUCACUCUGCUUUGGGGAAGAGCCAGGCGAACUGAGCCUGUAGAACCGUAUCUUGGUAACUAACACACACACACACACACACACACACACAGAGCUGCUAACAUUGAGGGGAGGGGAAAGAAGGAGGGGCUGUCACAGGCUGGGAGCCGUGAGAUCAGAUGUCAGCAGCUCAGGGAGACAUUCCCAGGAAGGGAAAAGUGCUGCUCAUUCAUCACCCUGCGCUGGGACAGCCUGGACCACAGCUGCUCUUGUGGAGAGGAAGCAACCCAGGAAGGGAGCUGCUGGGGACCCUGUCGAUGUCUCCCAACACCAGGGGCAGUGUCCUGGGUACUCCAUGGGCAGAACCACCAUCAGUUUUGUGAAUGUCAAAUAGCCCCACAUGACAAUAACGAAUGUGUAUCUGGUGAGGCAUACGAGCAACAUCACACAUUAACCCGCAGCAAAACAUCCCCACAACUGACUGACUGGAAUUUUACACGGGCUGGGAAAGGCCAUCUAAGGCUAGAUGCUACAGGAAACCCACUGCACUGAACACGCAGGCAGCUUCAUGCAACACAAGCUGGUGUGUGGUUUACGAAGCAGGACUAGCUUGCUGAGUGUAAAAGUACUAAUAAUUCGGUGUCUGCAGAAAGUGGCUUCCUGAAAAGCAGCAGCCCGUCUAACGCAGGCACUAGGGCACGGGGCUCAAGCGCUUUGAAUUUCUCAUGGGAGCAGCCUGAGACUGGCACGUUGCGCUGUCUGGUUGGUCGAUCCGCUGGCUCUGGCCAAUGAAGUGUUGUUUAUGGCGAGAGCUGUGCCGCGGGGAUGGCUCUGGAAGCUGGCAAGGGGAUUUGGGCGCAUUCAGCAAGGAGUAGCGCAACAGGAUGCUCCCAUGGGGGCAGCAGGGAUCAAACCCAGGACCUCUGGAUCUGAAAGCACGAGCCUCCACUCACUGAAGUCCACAACGACUGGACAGACUCAAACUUCUAGCUGAUUCAGCCACUACAGUGAGACAGAGAGGCACCCUGAGCAAGCACAGGCUACGCAAGGUUGCGUGUUCCAGUCCAGCCCAGGUCACUGGGGACAGAGUUGUUAAUAGGUGGGGGCCCAUAUGACACAAGGUGGUGGUCACGCUCCUGUUCCCACUAGACAGAUGGCGCCAUCGGCAAAGCCAGUCUCUGCCCAGAGCUUAAGGACUGAAAGGGCCUUGGAGUCUGACCUCCCCUCUCACUUGGAGGAGGGAUCACGCCACAUCAUGGCUGGGGCUCGUUGGCAAAAUGUGGAUGUUACCCCUAAAUAUGUGUACAAAUCAUCAUGAUCCAAAUGGGCUGAGUGGCAGGGUAAGGGGCUUAAAAAAUGCCAAUGCCAGUCGUGCUAGCCAGGUAAGUGUAUUCUGCUGUAAUUAGCCACAAGGUGUAACGGCCUCACUCCUGCCUCUGGAAAGAGCUGAUGGGUCCAGCUUCAUAGUUAAGACUGACAAGCCCUCGCCCCCCCUUGACGCCACUGUUUUUUGGAACAGAAGAUCUGCUCGCUACUAACCGUAUUAUCUGUU
rnacentral:lncRNA from 1 species